AACGAACGCUGGCGGCAGGCCUCAAACAUGCAAGUCUAGGGGGUGUAGCAAUACAUCACCGGCGGACGGGUGCGUAACGCGUGGGAAUAUACCUAUUGGUUCGGAACAACUGAGGGAAACUUCAGCUAAUACCGGAUACGUCCUAACGGAGAAAGAUUUAUCGCCAAUAGAUUAGCCCGCGUUCGAUUAGCUAGUUGGUGGGGUAACGGCCCACCAAGGCGACGAUCGAUAGCUGUUCUGAGAGGAAGAUCAGCCACACUGGGACUGAGACACGGCCCAGACUCCUACGGGAGGCAGCAGUUGGGAAUCUUGGACAAUGGGGGAAACCCUGAUCCAGCCAUGCCGCGUGAGUGAUGAAGGCCU
rnacentral:rRNA from 1 species